rnacentral:rRNA from 1 species
AGCGAACGCUGGCGGCAGGCUUAACACAUGCAAGUCGAGCGGGCAUAGCAAUAUGUCAGCGGCAGACGGGUGAGUAACGCGUGGGAACGUACCUUUUGGUUCGGAACAACACAGGGAAACUUGUGCUAAUACCGGAUAGCCCUUACGGGGAAAGAUUUAUCGCCGAAAGAUCGGCCCGCGUCUGAUUAGCUAGUUGGUGAGGUAAUGGCUCACCAAGGCGACGAUCAGUAGCUGGUCUGAGAGGAUGAUCAGCCACAUUGGGACUGGGACACGGCCCAAACUCCUACGGGAGGCAGCAGUGGGGAAUAUUGGACAAUGGGCGCAAGCCUGAUCCAGCCAUGCCGCGUGAGUGAUGAAGGCCCUAGGGUUGUAAAGCUCUUUUGUGCGGGAAGAUAAUGACGGUACCGCAAGAAUAAGCCCCGGCUAACUUCGUGCCAGCCGCCGCCGUAA